GCUGGGAUUACAGGGGCUUUUGAGCGUCUUCCUGGGGUAUUUCUUUCUGGCAUUUCCCAUUGUACAUGCUAUUUUUGUAGUCAGAAAGUAGUGUUUUAAAAUG